GAAUCUUCCACAAUGGACGGAAGUCUGAUGGAGCAACGCCGCGUGAGCGAAGAAGGUCUUCGGAUCGUAAAGCUCUGUUGUAAGGGAAGAAUAAGUACAGUAGUACCUGGCUGUACCUUGACGGUACCUUACGAGAACGCCACGGCUAACUACGUGCCAGCAGCCGCGGUAAUACGUAGGUGGCAAGCGUUGUCCGGAAUUAUUGGGCGUAAAGCGCGCGCAGGCGGUUCUUUAAGUCUGAUGUGAAAGCCCACGGCUCAACCGUGGAGGGUCAUUGGAAACUGGAGAACUUGAGUACAGAAGAGGAAAGCGGAAUUCCACGUGUAGCGGUGAAAUGCGUAGAGAUGUGGAGGAACACCAGUGGCGAAGGCGGCUUCCUGGUCUGUAACUGACGCUGAGGCGCGAAAGCGUGGGGAGCAAAC
rnacentral:rRNA from 1 species